UCAAAGAAUAACUUUUGCAUUCAUUCAGAACAUUUGAAUGGGUAUAUACUCCAAAAAACUGUGGGCGACGAUGAAUCAUCCAAAAGUCAUAUUGAGGUUUGUAGAUAAAUCAUUUCAUUCAACUACGCAAGAAUCUAAUUGCCUGGUAUACAUUAAUGAGAGUAGCACCAGCUACUGCAGCUUUCUUAGGCCCUUCUGCCAAGGUCCAUCCAAAU
rnacentral:lncRNA from 1 species